rnacentral:rRNA from 1 species
GGUUCGAUUAUAUGGCUCAGAUUGAACGCUGGCGGGAUGCUUUACAUGCGAAGUCGGUGGCAACUGCGGACCUCGGUCUGGUGGCGAGUGGCGAACGGGUAAAGGUAAUGUAUCAGACGUGCCUAGUAGCGGGGAUAACUACGCGAAAGCGUAGCUAAUACCGCAUACGCCCUUCGGGGAAAGCGGGGGACCUUCGAGCCUCACUAUUAAGACAGCCGAUAUGGAUUAGCUAGUUGGUGGGAGGUAACGGCUCACCAAGGCGACGAUCCGUAGCCGUUUCAGAGGACGACCAGCCACACUGGGACUGAGACACGGCCCAGACUCCUACGGGAGGCAGCAGUGGGGAAUUUACCUGGACAAUGGGGAAACCUGAUCCAGCCAUCCCGCGUGUGCAGUGAAGGCCUUCGGGUUGUAAGCACUUUUUGGCGGGAAAGAAACGGCACGGGAUAAUACCCCGUGCAACUGACGGUACCUGCAGAAUAAGCACCGGCUAACGCUACGUACCAGCAGCUGCGGUAAUACGUAGGGUGCAAGCGUUAAUCGGAAUUACUGGGCGUAAAGCGUGCGCAGGCGGUUCGGGGGAAGAAAAAGUCGUAAAAUCCCAGAGCUACUUUGGGAACAGUACGCUUUACCGAGCUAGAGUGUGUCAGAGGGAGGUGGAAUUCCGCGAUGUAGCAGUGAAAUGCGUAGAUAUGCGGAGGAACACCGAUGGCGAAGGCAGCCUCCUGGGAUAACGCUGACGUAUUGCACGAAAGCGACUGGGGAGCAAACAGGAUUAGAUACCCUGGUAGUCCACCGCCUAAACGAUGUCCAGCCGCUGGUGGGCCUUCAAGACGCCAGUAGCUGGCUAACAACGUGAUUGACCGCCUGGAAAUUGAUCUGAGGUCAAACUUUCAAGGGUCGACAGGGACCCGCACAAGCGGUGGAUGAUGUGGAUUAAUUCGAUGCAACGCGAAAAACCUGCCUACACUGCAAGCAUGUCUGGAAUCCCGAAGAGAGAUUUGGGAGUGCUCGCAAGAGAACCGGAACACAGGUGCUGCAUGGCUGUCGUCAGCUCGUCUGGCGAAAUCGUGGAUUAAGUCCCGCAACGAGCGCAACCCUUGUCAUUAGUUGCUACGAAAGACACUCUAACCAAUGAGACUGCCGGUGACAAACCGGAGGAAGGUGGGGAUGACGUCAAGUCCUCAUAAGCCCUUAUGGGUAGACCACGCACGUCAUACAAUGGUCGGGACAGAGGGUCGCCAACCCGCGAGAGAGGAGCCAGUCAGAAACCGAUCGUAGUCCAGAUCUGCGAUCUGCAACUAUUUGUGAAGUCGGAAUCCUUCAGCAAUCGCGGAUCAGCUUGUAUCCACUGGGCUCAAGCCACGUUCCCGGGUCUUGUACACACCUUGUCCUGUCUUGAGGAAUUAGGUUUUACCAGAAGUAGUGCUUCAACAUAAGGAGGGCAGACCUACGGUAGGAUUCAUGACUGGGGUGAAGUCAUGUUAAGGUAG